GAUGAACGCUGGCGGCGUGCCUAAUACAUGCAAGUCGAGCGAACAGACGAGGAGCUUGCUCCUCUGACGUUAGCGGCGGACGGGUGAGUAACACGUGGAUAACCUACCUAUAUGACUGGGAUAACUUCGGGAAACCGGAGCUAAUACCGGAUAACAUGUUGAACCGCAUGGUUCAACAGUGAAAGACGGUCUUGCUGUCACUUAUAGAUGGAUCCGCGCCGCAUUAGCUAGUUGGUAAGGUAACGGCUUACCAAGGCAACGAUGCGUAGCCGACCUGAGAGGGUGAUCAGCCACACUGGAACUGAGACACGGUCCAGGCUCCUACGGGAGGCAGCAGUAGGGAAUCUUCCGCAAUGGGCGAAAGCCUGACGGAGCAACGCCGCGUGAGUGAAGAAGGUCUUCGGAUCGUAAAACUCUGUUAUUGGGGAAGAACAAAUGUGUAAGUAACUCUGCACGUCUUGACGGUACCUAAUCAGAAAGCCACGGCUAACUACGUG
rnacentral:rRNA from 1 species